rnacentral:lncRNA from 1 species
UCAUUCAUUUCUAUUUACAAAAACUGAUCUGUACUUGUAAUAGAUAGAAAUAUAGUAAAAUGUGUGCGUGUGUAUUAUUCUGUUGGUGGUUCUCUGAUGGUGAUAAGCUAAUGUAAUUGAAACAAUAAUAGUCUAAAAGAAGUGGUAAUGGAUGUGUGUGUUCGAUCUGUUUUCAUUUGAAUCAUAGUUUUGUAAUUUAACAAAUGAAUGUAUGGAGAAAGUAAAGUAGGAGGUAACCUUGAUAUGAGUAGGAAAUGAGGAAAAUCUUCUUUCUGAAUUCACCAAAAUUUGAUCUGCGAAUUUAUUCAGCCAAGCUUAACAAUGAAAUUUUGGAUCUGAAAACUAUGAAAGAAUUGGAAGAAUUAAUGGACGUUUAUUACCUCUUUCUUGUUUUGGGAAAUCUUGGAAACUGAUUUGGAAAGCUGGAAUCAGUGAAUUAUAAUUCAAGCAUAAGAAUAGCUUGGAUCAGAAUGUUAGGAGGAAUGGGAGGAAUGUUGGUUGCUGAUUUUGAUUAAAUAAAAGCUAAUUGCAUGUUGAGAUGUUAAAGUGUAGAAGAUGGCUGGCAAAAGAAGGUGUAAAGAGUGUUUAGUGGAAUGAUGAGUGUGUGGAAUAAUGAGUGUUUAGUGGAAUGAUGAGUGCUUAGUGGGAUAGUUGGCAUAUGAUGAGUGUUUCCAACACCAUCAAUUUAUUUAAGAGUAAGAUGGAUGUGGAAAUGUGUAGGUGCUAGAUGAAUGUGAUGAAU